AGUGAACGCUGGCGGCAGGCCUAAUACAUGCAAGUCGAACGGCAGCACAGUGGAGCUUGCUCCAUGGGUGGCGAGUGGCGGACGGGUGAGGAAUACAUGGGAAUCUGCCCAGUCGUGGGGGAUAACGUAUGGAAACGUACGCUAAUACCGCAUGCGCCCUUCGGGGGAAAGUCGGGGACCGCAAGGCCUGACGCGAUUGGAUGAGCCCAUGUUCGAUUAGCUAGUUGGCGGGGUAACGGCCCACCAAGGCGACGACCGAUAGCUGGUCUGAGAGGAUGAUCAGCCACACUGGAACUGAGACACGGUCCAGACUCCUACGGGAGGCAGCAGUAGGGAAUAUUGGACAAUGGGGGAAACCCUGAUCCAGCAAUGCCGCGUGAAUGAUGAAGGCCUUCGGGUCGUAAAGUUCUUUUAGUCAGGGAAGAAGGGAACUUGACUGUACCUGCAGAAAAGACACCGGCUAACUCCGUGCCAGCAGCCGCGGUAAUGUACAGUG
rnacentral:rRNA from 1 species